UGUUACCUUGUUACGACUUCACCCCAAUCAUCUAUCCCACCUUAGGCGGCUGGCUCCAAAUGGUUACCUCACCGACUUCGGGUGUUACAAACUCUCGUGGUGUGACGGGCGGUGUGUACAAGGCCCGGGAACGUAUUCACCGCGGCGUGCUGAUCCGCGAUUACUAGCGAUUCCGACUUCAUGUAGGCGAGUUGCAGCCUACAAUCCGAACUGAGAUUGGCUUUAAGAGAUUAGCUUGCCGUCACCGGCUUGCGACUCGUUGUACCAACCAUUGUAGCACGUGUGUAGCCCAGGUCAUAAGGGGCAUGAUGAUUUGACGUCAUCCCCACCUUCCUCCGGUUUAUUACCGGCAGUCUCGCUAGAGUGCCCAACUAAAUGAUGGCAACUAACAAUAGGGGUUGCGCUCGUUGCGGGACUUAACCCAACAUCUCACGACACGAGCUGACGACAACCAUGCACCACCU
rnacentral:rRNA from 1 species